UACGGAGGGUGCAAGCGUUAUCCGGAUUUACUGGGCUUAAAGGGCUCGUAGGUGGAUCCGCCAGUCUGACGUGAAAUCUCCACCGCUCACCGGGGAGGGGCCGUUGGAUACUACGGAUCUGGAGUUCGGCAGAGGACCAUGGAAUUUCGGGUGUAGCGGUGGAAUGCGUAGAUAUCCGAAAGAACACCGGUGGCGAAGGCGGUGGUCUGGGCCUGAACUGACGCUGAGGAGCGAAGGCCAGGGGAGCAAACGGG
rnacentral:rRNA from 1 species